CCCUUAGAUGUUCUGGGCCGCACGCGUGCUACACUGAGUGGAUCAGCGGGUCAGGUUGCGCGAAAGCGUUUCCUAAUCUUUAAAUCCGCUCGUGAUGGGGAUUGACGGUUGCAAUUUUCUGUCAUGAACGAGGAAUACCUUGUAAGCGCUGGUCAUCAUCCCGCGCUGAAUACGUCCCUGCCCUUUGUACACACCGCCCGUCGCUCCUACCGAUUGAGUGGUCCGGUGAGGCUUUGGGAUCUGAGCGGAAAGAGCGUUUCGCUGUUUCUGCUCGGAAAACUCAGUCGAACCUUAUCAUUUAGAGGAAGGAGAAGUCGUAACA
rnacentral:rRNA from 1 species